rnacentral:lncRNA from 1 species
AGAUCCCCCUUUAUUUUUCAGAAUUGUGGUUUGCAUCCUAAGAGAAGCCUGUGAAUUCAGGGUCUGGGCCACCGAGGGCCUAACGUUUCUGUCCAUAAAAACAGAAGCCUGGCCCGGGCCUCUCUCUUGUGUGAAUCUGCAGUGUGCCAGCUCCUCUCUAUCAGUUUGGUUUUGUUUCUUGUAUCUCUGGGAAGGCAGGCAGACAGCACGGUCACCUGUGAAUGCAGCCACAAUUGGCUUAGCUGCCUCACUGAUAAAUGUGCCCUGGGUAGGCUACGAAGGGAUUAUCAGCGUUCCCAGCAGCUAAAGGUGAUUUUCAAGAACAGGAAGGAUUGCUUCAAACUGUUCUCCUUGAAUUUCAUUUUAAUAUUUUGCGUGACAGAGCACAAAGCUGAUGGAUAUGAACGAAUUUAGCUCCAAUGACCAAUGCAAUGCAAUCUCUGAAAACAUGGAGCCCGAUUCUGUGUCUUCCUUUUGGAUUCCAUUUUCUCAGGUUGGACAUUCUCCAAAAGGUCAGCCAGGAAAAGUCCUUUUGGAUGCCAGACACCAGGCAGAGGCUCUCAGGCCAGCAGGCCACCGGUGUUCAUUCAUUCCUCCUAAAAAUGGGCACAAAGUAAAGGUUAAUUCAGACCAUUUGGCAAAUGCUUGCUUGCCCAGUGAAGUUAUACAAAUCAGUCCAUGCUGAGUGACUGCAAAACUACAUCUAUUUUAUUUGGUCUUUCACAAAUAACCCAUCUGAACAAAAUCAGAUCUUGAUUAAAGAAAAUUAGGGUUUAUAGGAAAUUAUACUGAGGAUAACUGAGAGUUGGAAUUAAAAUUAUUAACAUACUUUUAGGGCACUAAUACACAUGAAAACAUUUAAUUUUCUUUUCAUUCAGAAGAACUGAAAAGCUCGUGUGCUAAUAGAAAAAUAUUGUGAGACCUAUCUUUAAUAGCUUCUUUUAAACUAAGAUUUUGAAUCCUCCUGUGUUAAAAUAUAAGCUGAUUUAAAAACUAUGGUCUCAGUCUCCUCCCGGGUUGAUGUUACUGAAAGGGGGUGGGAUUUGUAAUAAUAAUACCUAUUGUUUACUUAUUGCUCUGUGCUAAAAACUUUCUUCACUAGCAUUAUCUUACUCAAUCCUCACAAAAACCUAUGGGAUAGUAACUAUUAUUAGCCUUAUUUUAGAGAAAAGGGCAAUGAAAUUUAGGAAAGUGAGAUAACAUAGUUAAAGGCACAUAGCCAGUAAAGGGCAGAGUUAUUUGGACUCAGGUCAGCUUCCAAAGCCAUUUAUUUGUACUUACCCCCUGCACUAUACCACUUCCAUAAAUUAUCUGGCUCUGUUCUGCCAUGUGUUAGCUAUAUGUAUAAUCUUCUUGGAGAAGUCACUUAACCUCUGUAAACUCAGUUUGCUCAUCUUUAAAAUGGAGAUAACAGUACCUACCAGACAGGCUUAUAUGUGUAGGUGUAUAUAGCAAUGAAACCCUAUAUACAACUGGUUAUUAUUAUUAUGCUGAAAAGAAGAUGGUUUCAACUGAAGCCAAUAACAACAGUUGUUGAAUAAAUCUUUUAUUUAUUUAUUUAUUACAUUUAUUUAUUUUCGAGAGACAGAGACAGAGCAUGAGUGGGGGAGGGACAGAAAGAGAACUGUCAGCACAGAGCCUGACAUGGGACUGGAACCCACAAACCUUGAGAUCAUGACCUGAGCCAAAGUCAGAAGCUUAACAGACUGAGCCACCCAGGUGCCCCUGAAUAAAUCUUUUAAAAACAUCAUUUUUGAAAUGACUUUACCCUUUUAACACUAAAUGAUUGCCUAUUCCUAUUAGAACAAUUCCAGACCUCCUAACCCAAGAAAGAAGCUUGGCCACUAUUUAUCUACACAGCCUAUGGCUUCAGAGGGACAGAACUUUUCAGAGCCCAGACUGUCUUUUUACUGUUACCUUUCGUGGGGUUGGAUAAUGGCCUUCCAAAGAUGUCUUUGUCCUAAUCCUCAGAGCUCAGGGAACAUGUGAAUACAUUACGUAAGAAAAGGGACUUUGCAGAUGUGAUUAAAUUAAGGUUCUUGAGAUGAGCAGAUAAUCCUGGAUUUUGUCACUGGCCUAGUGAUAUAAUCAUAAGGGUCUUUAUAAGAGGGAAGCAGGAAGGUCGGUGCCAAUAGCAGGAGUGUGACAACGGAAUCCAGAAGUGGAGUGAUGUGAGGAAGGGGCCAAGAGCCAAGGAAUUCAGGUGGCCUCGGAAGCUGAAGAAAGAGAAGAAAACACAUUCUUCCCCAAAGCUUGCAGAAGCAACACAGCUCUGCUGGCACUGUGAUUUUUUUGGGCUUUUGACCCCUAGAAGUAUAAGAGAAUAAAUUUGUUGUUUUAAACUGAUAAGUUUGUGAUAAUUUACAGAAGCAACAGGAAACUCACUUUUCAGUCCAUGAUUAUUCCUACUGCUACCCAGGCUGUUGCCCUCACCUGAAAUGUCCUUUUUUUCUCCCUCCACUUUUCUAAAUCUUAUUUCAUGCUCAAGUCCCAUCUAAAACCUAUGGCAAGGGCACCUGGCAGGCUCAGUUGGUUAAGUGUCCAACUUUUGGCUUUGACUUGGGUCAUGAUCUCAUGGUUUGUGGGUUCAAGCCCUAUACUGAGCUCUGAACUGACAGUGUGGAUUCUCUCUCUCCCCACCUCUGUCUGCCUCUCCUCCCUUCUCUGCCCCUCCCAAGCUUGCAUGUGCUCUCUCCCUCUCUCUCAAGAUAAAUAAACUUAAAAAAGUAAAUAGUAUACCACAGAAUCAACAGACCACUUGACCAUAGUCUGAAUGUAUUGAGCAUUUAUUCAUUGAUUCUUUAAAUAUUUAUUCAACACCUACUAGGUGCUGGAGACACAUGCCUUCAAGAAGCUCCUAAAAAAGGAGGCAAAAGUGACUCAUUGAUUCAGCGAUGAGAGAGAUGACUAGGGCAGGCUACAUAUGUGGAGUGGGAUCUGACCUAUCUCAGGUGGGCAAGAAAGCCUUCAUCGACAAGAUGGGGACAAGAAGCUUUAGAUCUCGAAUUGUUCAUGUUUCCAAGAUUAGCAUUUCCAGAAACAUUGGAGAAGAGUAGUAGAAUGGUUAAGUGGAUAGUCAAAAGAUUAGCACAUCUGAAUUCAGAAGUAAACUCUGACUCUGGUCAAUUUCUCCAUCCAUGAAAUAAGGAUGAUGGUAAUAUUAGUACUUAACUCAUGGGUUGUAACCCAUUUAUAGCAAUGUCAGUUACAUAGUAAGCAUUAAGUGUUUAUUAUCAUUUAAAUUCCUCAAAGGCAGGUACUGCUGUCAUAUUGGUGUCUUUGUGCAUUUAUACAGUGUUGGAAACACACAGUCCUUAAGAGCAUAUCUAUCGAUCUGUCUAACAUUGUCUACCAUCUAUCUAUAAUUUUAAACUCAAUUUUAUAUACCUUGCAUGGUAGCACAGUGCUUGGCACCUAGCAGAUAUUUUAUGAAUGCUCACUGACUUGAAGUGAAGCACUAGAAAAUCUCACUUGUAGUUUCACAGGUAAAUGGUAAUGCUUACUUUCUUGCUCCCUUCGUGUAACCACUUCUAGAUAUUUGGAUUGGGACAGUCAUCAUUUUAAUAACAAACUUCAUGCUUAAAGUAUUGCAUAGUGGAAGAGACGGGUUUACCUUGAAGCUAAACGCAGAUUUACUGUGAAGCUAAUAAAGUGCACGUCUUUAAUGGGCUUUUUCCCAGGCCCUGUACCUAAUUUUGUAUUUGUAGUAUUGUAUUCUUUUUUUCCUCAAACGUAGUCCCUAGAAUUAUAUACCCUUGAUGCCCCACAAAAAUGUGGAUUUUUCCCUGCAUUGGAGCUAAGCAUGUGAACUCUGAAGCUAGACCGCCUGAAUUCAGAGCUCGCUUUGCCACUUUCUAGCUGUGUGAUCUUUCUGGCUUUCUUUUCUGGAAAAUGGAGUUGAUAAUAAUGUAAUGCUACAUACUUCAUAGGGCUGUUGAAAGGAUCAAAUAAACAAAUUUUAGUAAGCAGCCAGUAAAAAUUAGCAAUAUUAUUAGUUACAGAGAACUUUAGGAAGUUUCUAAGGCUGGUGCAGCAAGAACAGCAGUUUCCAGAGUAGAAUACAGUAGAAGCUUCCUAAGAUCAGGAACGAUCUUGUCUUGUUCACCUCUCUAUCCCCAGAACCUUAAAAUGUUAAAGCAUAUUGUAUUAUUAAUCACUAUGCCAGAUUGCUUCCCUUAUUACACAUUACUUUAUGGUCUUAUACUUUUAUUUUUUCUGUCUUAUCUCUCCAAGUACAUUGUGAUAAUAAUGGCUUACAUCUGUAUAAUGCUAUGUAGAAUUAUUCAUUCUUCCAAUAAAUAUUUAUGGCACAUAGUAGGUACACAAUAAAAUAUUUAUUGAAUUGAAUCAUGACUAAUCUGUUCAAAUGCAAAAAAUUCAGACUUAGUCUCUUCUAACUUUUAUUUUUGCUUUUUAAAAAAUAAUUUUAAAAUUCUAUUUUAUUUUUAUUUUUUUUUUCAACGUUUAUUUAUUUUUGGGACAGAGAGAGACAGAGCAUGAACGGGGGAGAGGCAGAGAGAGAGGGAGACACAGAAUCGGAAACAGGCUCCAGGCUCUGAGCCAUCAGCCCAGAGCCCAACGCGGGGCUCGAACUCACGGACCGCGAGAUCGUGACCUGGCUGAAGUCGGACGCCUAACCGACUGCGCCACCCAGGCGCCCCUAAAAUUCUAUUUUAGAGAAAGACAGAGAGAGUGUGUGUAAGUGGGGGAGAGGGGCAUAGGGAGAGGAAGAGAGAGAAUUUUAAGCAGGCUCCGCAUUUAGCAUGGAGCCGGAUGCGGGGCUCGAUCCCACAACGCUGGCAUCAUGACUUAAGCCAAAACCAAGACUGUGAUGUUCAACCGACUAAGCCACCCAGGUGCCCCAUAACUUUUGUUUUUUGGUGAAAUCUACAGAGAGUAAGUUUAAGGUGCAUUUUGACAUAGUGAGAAAUAUACUAACUAUACAAAUAGAUGAGUCAAUACAUUGAAUACAGAGAGAUAGCAUUGUUGUCCUCCCUAUCACUGAGUUAUUGACCAUCUACUUUGCAUAAACACCUGCGCUCUAGGAUACAGUGCAGGUGGGCUCAAAGGGAAAGACAGAGGACACAAGGUAGUACAGUAGAAAGGCAUUGCUGUAGGGAUCAGAGAACCUUGACUUGACUCAAUGUAUCCUGUAUACCUAGUUCCAUGACUUUGGGCAAAUCAUUUAACCUCUCCAAACCUCACUUUGCUCAUCUAUAAAAAGGCAUUUAUUAUAUCAGCAUGAGCUACUUUAUAAGAUUAUUGUAUUAAAUCAUGUAUUUUGUGGAAAAGUACUUUGUAAUUUAUGUCUACCUAAGAACAACUGUAUAAAAUAAGGAACAUUUGAAAAAAAGGAAUGAAAAGAGCCCGAAGAACAUAUACAAAUGGGUGAGAGGAAGAGAGAAAAAGCUGUUUAAAAGAAAAUUUCUAGAUAUAGAAAAUAAGCAAAGCAAAUCAUAUGUGUGUAUAAAUAAAACAUAUGUGGCAAGAAGAAAAACAACUAUAAAAUGAAAUAAAUAUUUAAAAAAAGAACUACCCUGUUGCACCUGGCUCAGUCUAUAGAGCAUGUGACUCUUGAUUUCGGGGUCAUGAAUUUGAGCCCCACAUUGGGCAUGGAGAUUACUUAAAAAAAACUACCAUAAAUGUUUACCAAAGGAAUUAAUAAUUCUAUGUAGAAUUCUGUAAAUAAGUUACAGUUACUACAAUCUAAGGAGAUAAGGCAGAAAAAUAAAAGCAUACUGAAGAGUGUAAAAUAAUGUGUAAUAAGUGAAAAGUUUGGCAUGGUGCUUAAGGAUACAAAAUAUAUUUCUUUGAAAUAUGUUCUAAAUUUGACCAUUUGUCACCACCUUUCACCAUCUUUUACUUGUACUGUUGCAAAGUAUUUCCAACAGAUUUCUUUGUUUCUACAUUUGCCCACCCCCCUACAGUUUUAUUUUUCACAUCGUGGACAGCAUGAUCUUUCAAAAAUGCAUUAUCAUUUCAUAUUACUCCCUUACUUCAAGUUGUCUGACAACUUCCCAUUUUACUUAUAAUACAUCCCAAGCUUCUCACUAUGGCCUACAAAGGCCUGUGUGCCCCUGACUAAUUCUCUCCAAGCUUGUCUUUUACCACAUUCCCCUCUUGUUCACUAUGUUCCAGCCACACUGGCCUUGCUGUUCUCUGAGUGGAGGAAACUUUUUUCCUGCCUCAGGACCUUUAUGCUUUCUUUUUUUUUUCUGCCUGUUCUGCUCUUUCCCUAGAUAUUUGCAUGGCUUUCUUCUCAUCAUUCAGGUCACAGCUAAAUGUCACCUCUACAGGUAGGGAUUCCCUGGCCAUCUGCCUAAGAUUGCCUCCCCAAAGCCUUAAUUUACCACUCUCUGAACAUUAUAUAGAAUUCAUUUGUUAAUUCUCAUUUAUUAUAAUUGUUUCCUGUUUCCCUUUGAAAAAUAAAACCUUCAGAAGGGUGAGGGCUUUAUUUUCUCUUUAUUGUUUUUCUAGUUUUCAUUAUAAAAUUCUUUCAUCUCUCUUUUAUGAUUUUUACUUAUCACUUUCUUCAUUCCCAUUUUCCUUUACCAUCUUAUCAUACUUCUCCCAUUUAGGAAGGUUAAAUCAGUUUUGGAAUUCACAGGAUCCUGCUGUCCUAGUCAUUUUAAAAGGAUAGUGUGUUUUCGUACAGAGGAUUCACAUUCCAAAGUUCCCUGGCUCAUUCAAAAAUCCAUUGAAAUAACAAAUAUUUUUGCCAAAAUUAUAUAUGCCAUAGUAAUUGGCUCAUUCACUUCUUAAAAUUCUAUGAAACGUUGUCCCAUAGCAGACAGUGUUGCUUUGCCAUGUGGGGUGUGUGUGUGUGUGUGUGUGUGUGUGUGUGUGUGUGUAUACUCAUCUAGGAAUGUAUAUAGGAAUACGUAUAUCUACUUACAUACCUACUUAUAGCACACUUCAUCUUUCCUCAUGCUCUACAUUGUCACAUUUCUUUUAUACUAAAUAACUGGAAUGAAAAUGUUUAUUUUUAUCUUAAAUGAAAGAGGCUGCAUCUCCUUGGCAUAGCCUUUACUGAGUCUUGCCCAUUUGCCUGCUUGCCACUGAUUGGCAUGGCUACAUCUUAGGUUCUGGAUUUAGCUGUUCUCUCUCUGUUGCACUUCGUUUUUCUCCUCUGUUGUCCAAUAGAACACAUUGUGCAGAAAAUCCUUGGCACUAUUUCCUUGGUAUACAUUUUAAAUUUCCCAGGGACUCUUCACGUCUGUUGAACAUUCGCCUCUUUCUCUGUGCUCUUGUAACUUCGUAUAUAUGCUACACUUAACACAUUGCUAUUCCUUGAUUUUGCAGGUCAUGUAUUUCUACCCCUUACCCACCACUGCCCACCCCAGAAUGGGCUGUCAGUUAUGUUUGUUAAACGAAUGCUUUGCGACUAUAUUUUAUUUUCCCUUUGAGAUUUUGAUUUUUUGGUUUGGGCAUCCACAUUUCUACAGGUAUAAUCAGUUGCAAAGGGGGUAUGUGUCUUCCUGACUUUCAGAGAGAAGACUAUUCCCACAAGACAGAUGUCUCUGACUAUGCUGUGCAGCUUGCCCAUGUAAACCUCUUGCAUUGUUUGGAGAUUCUAUCCCAUGCCAAGAAUCUAACCACCCACAAGCAGGCACGUUGCUGUCCAAACAGAUGGACAAGGGAGAUGGGCAGGCCAAAGCCCAUGGAUGAAUAUGAAAUAAAUCGGUACAGAGAAGCCAAGAGUGUUAGAAAUGAAUGCUAGUCCUUGCCACACAGUUUUCAACAUAAGGGUGGACCAUUGUGGUUGAGGUUUUGACACUGAGCUGUAAACAAAGGAAAAGGUAAAAGUGUGAAUGAAGUGGAUGUUUUAGCAGGUGUAUGAAAGGCCCCAAGAAUGUAGGUAGUCUGAAAUGUUCAAGUCAGCUUAGCAGGAGGAGUUAGUGUCCUCUUCAGCUGGGUCAGUUCUGAGAGUCCACAUAUGGUCCAAUCACCCAUCAACAAUCACUUUGUCAUUCAGCCAACAAAUAUUUAUUGAGCAUCUAGCAUGUGCCAAACACUGGUAGGUACUAGGUAGGUAAACAUCCAGGAACAAGAUUCACAUAGUCUCUUCCCUGUAAGAACUUAGAUUCCAUAAUUAAUUCCAUAAUUAGUUAUUAAUUACAGUUUAACUGCUAUGAAGGAGAAGUAUAAGGAAUGAAGAUGAUGUAUAAUGGAGGCUCUUAGUGUGGAGGAUCUGGAAAGAUGUCUCUGAGGAAGUGAUAUUUAGGUUGAAAUCUGAAGAAUGUAUGGAAGUUGAAGUGGGAGUGGGGUGUGGUGGGGCAGAGAACAGGAGAACAUUCUUGAGAUAAUAAUAUCCAUCUUUUAAUGUGUCUUUGAAGUGGCAAUUAGCUGUUCAAACUCUUUAGAAGGGGAAUUUACUCCCUCCAGAGGCAACACUUGAAUUGCUCUGUCAGUAAGAUCUUCAGUUUGAACUAAAGUCUGUCUCUCUGAAGCUCCUGACCUUUGGUCUUAUUUUAUUUCUUGGGACCUUGUAGAAUGAGCCUACUCCUUCUUGUGAUACCAGUGAUGUUCUUUCUUUCCUGCAAGAAAGUUGUUUAACCUCUCUAAGCCACGUAUUUUUUCCAUCUAUAAUUGGGGCUGAUUAAUAGUAUCUACCUCACAGGGUUGGUGUGAAGAUUCCACAAAAGAAUCUAUGUGAAGUGCUUGGUUUGAUGGCUGUUAGUCAAGUGCUUAGUAAAUGUCAACUAUCAUCAUGUUUAUUAUUACACAAAAUUCAUGUGUGUGCUUGUCUUUAUUAUUAGGUUGUAUUCUUCUUAAGGGUAUGGACUGUGGAGAGAACACGGAUUUCAGAAUCAGACAGAUCUCAAAGUCUGCCUGUCAUAUGUACUAACUAUGAGUAGGUGAUCAAUUAUUUUAAAAUGGUAAAAAUGUAAAAUUGUUUAAAGAUUGUAAAAAUGAUAUCUGUCAUUACUGCUCAAAAUUAUUGCAAGGAACAAAAGAGAUCAUCUAAGUAAAGAUACCAACACAAUACUUCGCAUUUAGUAAUUAGUGCUCAAUUAGUGUGUGUUUCCUUUCCUCUUUAUGGUCCCACAGUGAUUUCCUCAGAACAGGUUGCUUACUUGUGCAUUUAUAAUUCAACACCCACUGACUUCCAGGAAGUAUUAGGCCUAUUGAGUAGUAGCUAAUAAAUAUUUGCGAAUGAAUGGAAUGGGCAAAUGAAUGAAAUUUGCCUUCUUAACAACUUUUCUCAUAUGGGAACUCUGAAGAUUUCCCCAGCAAAAAGUAGGAAGCUCAGUGUCUUAUAGAUGAAGACUGGGGAGAUUGCAGAAGACCUAUACAGGUACUGAGCCUGGUCUUCUGGGGCCAGGAACCCUGCUCAUGCCUCAAGCUACCUGUAAUGAAAAGUCCUAUGUCUGCCACCUGUCUCAGAGAUCUGUCCUGAGGAUUAAUGAGAUAAUGUCCGAAGAGCCUUGUGAAGCCCUUGGAAGGAAAUUACAGGUUAAAGUAAAUUCCACAGAAUUUGGCUACUGAGAAGAAUUCUGAAUAACAAAGCUGUGAUCAGGUUGUAGUAGAUGGCUUUAAAAUUUUUUGGUUGUUGUGGGGCACCUGGCUGGCUCAGUUAGUAGAGCAUGUGACCCCUAAUCUCGGGGUUGUGGUUUCAAGCCCCACAUUGGGUAUAGAGAUUACUUAAAAAAAAAUAAAAUCUUUAAAAAAUUUUUGUUAUUUUAUUGAUAUGCUUUACAGCCACUUUUAGAUUCUGAACUAGCCUGUGGGACACGUUCUUUCUCAGGUCCUCACACUUCUAGCAGUCACUCUAGAACAGUCUCAAAGACUCUUCAGGAUUGUCUGUUAUCACCUGGGUCUUUGUUAAAAAUACAAUUUCCUGGGCUUCAACUUCAGAACUACAAAUUUGCAAAAUUCCAGGAA